rnacentral:lncRNA from 12 species
CGGGCAUGUCCUGUCUAUAACCGGGCUUCUGACAACCGACAGAGAGGGGAGGGGACGGAGGGGGAUCCUCUCUUGACAAGAUUUAUCAAGAAACAUUUAACUGGGCUUUAAUCAUAUUAGCAAGAGCCCAAUUAGGGCUGAGAGCGAAGCGAGGCUGGGGAGAGGAGGAGGAGCAAGCGAUGGAGUCACUCGAGGAUAAAGUCCUUUCAUCAGGCUGCGCUCUCGGCAAACAGAGGAGCGUUGUUCUCAGAGACGGAGCGAGGAAGAAGAGAAGGGGUUCGGAGGCACCUGCUGCACUGCGACGACCUGAUCUGCGUGUGCUGAUAGGUCUCUCCCUCCCGGAGCAAAGAGGGGGUCCGUCCCUCCCACUCUACCUCAGAUCACCCAGGGAGAAUUUCCUUAAAAGCCCUUUUCCAGGGUCUCGUUUCCCUGAUGGCGAGCUCUUCCCCGGCGCAUCCCACCUCCCAGCGCGGCUCCUCGGGGGCAGCGCGGCGCCCCAGGGCCCCCGGUGGAGCCCAGCCCGGCGCCCAGGGCUCUCGAAAGCCCCGCGGGAAGCGCGGCGCUGGGAACGACCGGGUCAGGGCAGAGGGCAGAAGAUGUCCUCCCGGGGCUCAAACUCUCGGUGCUUUUCGCGUGGGCAACCUGCCCUGUCCUCAGGGACUCGGUCGCUCCAGCUGUAGGGGAUGGGGUGGGCGGACAGCAAAGAAAUAAAGAAAAACUAAAGAUGACAGGUGGGAGCAAAGGAAGAGGCUGUGGAUAAGCCAUGGACCCCCCUCCCCGGGUUACGCCACCUCGGGGACACGGCGGUGGGAGCGCGGCAGCGGCCGUGACCCUGCUUGCGGCUUUCGAGACAUCGCCAGCAGCUGCCGGCAGCUGCCCCGGCCAGGGGGGGGGGGGGGGGGGGGGGGGGGGGGGGGGGGGGGGGGGGGGGGGGGGGGG